CAAGUCCAAGCCAUAGAGAGUCAAGUGCAAGGAAUUGAGAGCCAGGUACAGGACAUUGGCUCCCAGGUUGAUGGGUUUGGGGAGCAAAUAGCUGCUUUGGACAAGCUGCCAUCCGGUACCGACCUGCUAGAGAAGACGCCGAGUGGCUCCCGGGUGUCAGAUAUGUGGCAAAUGAUGCAGAUGAAAAAGAAAAUGGAAGCCAAUGAGGACGGCAUUUCCAAGGCUAUGGGACUGAUCCAGGAUGUCAUGAAUGAAGUCAAAGACUUGAAGGCAGAUCAAGAGAAGGGGUAUCUACAGAAGGAGUUUCCCCAGGCAUUGAAAGACUACAAAUCAAUGAUUACAGAUGUGGAGGAACGGAUUACAGAUUUAGAGAAGCUAGUCAAUCACCAAGAAAAUAAUUUGGAAAACGUAACGCGAAAGAUGAGUCUGUACCCGGAAGACAACUCGAUCGUUACCUGGGAAGACUUGGAGCAAGCGCUAGUUUCUGGUCGGAGAAGCUCUACGGUGAUUAGGGGAAAAUUGGGAAAGGACUU
rnacentral:lncRNA from 1 species